AAGUCGUAACAAGGUUUCCGUAGGUGAACCUGCGGAAGGAUCAUUAAAAAAAAUAUUAUACAUCUCUUCUAGGAUUAAACACUAAAUGUUAUAUUUCAACAAGUUUAAAAUAAAAAACUUUCAACAACGGAUCUCUUGGUUCUC
rnacentral:misc_RNA from 1 species